rnacentral:rRNA from 1 species
AAUACAUCGGAACAUGUCCUGUAGUGGGGGAUAGCCCGGCGAAAGCCGGAUUAAUACCGCAUACGAUCCACGGAUGAAAGCGGGGGACCUUCGGGCCUCGCGCUAUAGGGUUGGCCGAUGGCUGAUUAGCUAGUUGGUGGGGUAAAGGCCUACCAAGGCGACGAUCAGUAGCUGGUCUGAGAGGACGACCAGCCACACUGGGACUGAGACACGGCCCAGACUCCUACGGGAGGCAGCAGUGGGGAAUUUUGGACAAUGGGCGAAAGCCUGAUCCAGCAAUGCCGCGUGUGUGAAGAAGGCCUUCGGGUUGUAAAGCACUUUUGUCCGGAAAGAAAUCCUUGACUCUAAUACAGUCGGGGGAUGACGGUACCGGAAGAAUAAGCACCGGCUAACUACGUGCCAGCAGCCGCGGUAAUACGUAGGGUGCAAGCGUUAAUCGGAAUUACUGGGCGUAAAGCGUGCGCAGGCGGUUUGCUAAGACCGAUGUGAAAUCCCCGGGCUCAACCUGGGAACUGCAUUGGUGACUGGCAGGCUAGAGUAUGGCAGAGGGGGGUAGAAUUCCACGUGUAGCAGUGAAAUGCGUAGAGAUGUGGAGGAAUACCGAUGGCGAAGGCAGCCCCCUGGGCCAAUACUGACGCUCAUGCACGAAAGCGUGCGGAGCAAACAGGAUUAGAUACCCUGGUAGUCCACGCCCUAAACGAUGUCAACUAGUUGUUGGGGAUUCAUUUCCUUAGUAACGUAGCUAACGCGUGAAGUUGACCGCCUGGGGAGUACGGUCGCAAGAUUAAAACUCAAAGGAAUUGACGGGGGACCCGCACAAGCGGUGGGAUGAUGUGGAAUUAAUUCCGAUGCCACGGCGAAAAACCCUUACCCUACCCCUUGGACAUGGGUCGGGAAUCCUGGCU